UACGUAGGGGGCUAGCGUUGCUCGGAAUCACUGGGCGUAAAGCGCACGUAGGCGGACUCUUAAGUCGGUGGUGAAAUCCUGGAGCUCAACUCCAGAACUGCCUUCGAUACUGAGAGUCUCGAGUCCGAGAGAGGUGAGUGGAACUGCGAGUGUAGAGGUGAAAUUCGUAGAUAUUCGCAAGAACACCAGUGGCGAAGGCGGCUCACUGGCUCGGUACUGACGCUGAGGUGCGAAAGCGUGGGGAGCAAACAGG
rnacentral:rRNA from 1 species